rnacentral:rRNA from 1 species
CUAGCUGGUGGGGUAAGAGCUCACCAGGGCGACGAUCGGUAGCUGGUCUGAGAGGACGAUCAGCCACACUGGGAUUGAGAACGGCCCAGACUCCUACGGGGGGCAGCAGUGAGGAAUUUUCGUCAAUGGGGGCAACCCUGAACGAGCAACGCCGCGUGCAGGAAGAAGGUUUUCGGAUCGUAAACUGCUUUUCUCGGGGACGAGUAGGGACGGUACCCGAGGAAUCAGCCCCGGCUAACUACGUGCCAGCAGCCGCGGUAAUACGUAGGGGGCGAGCGUUGUCCGGAGUUACUGGGCGUAAAGCGCACGCAGGCGGUUCUUUCAGUUCAACGUGACAGUCGUCGGCUCAACUGACGGAGGACGGGGAAGACGGGAGGACUUGAGGGCUUCAGAGGGACACGGAAUUCCGGGUGGAGUGGUGAAAUGCGUAGAUAUCCGGAGGAACACCAACAGCGAAGGCAGUGUCCUGGGAAGUCGCUGACGCUCAGGUGCGAAAGCCAGGGGAGCGAACGGGAUUAGAUACCCCGGUAGUCCUGGCCGUAAACGAUGACCACCAGGCGUGGGGGGUAUCGACCCCCUCCGUGCCGGAGCUAACGCGGUAAGUGGUCCGCCUGGGGAGUACGGUCGCAAGAUUAAAACUCAAAGGAAUUGACG